UGGAGCCGGCGCUGAGGUUCCGGAGCAGAGCUGGAGCUAGGUUACUGGAGCGCUCCGGAGCAUGGAGCCGGCGCUGAGGUUCCGGAGCAGAGCUGGAGCUCUCCGGAGCAUGGAGCCGGCGCUGAGGUUCCGGAGCAGAGCUGGAGCUAGGUUACUGGAGCGCUCCGGAGCAUGGAGCCGGCGCUGAGGUUCUGGAGCAGAGCUGGAGCUAGGUUACUGGAGCGCUCCGGAGCAUGGAGCCGGCGCUGAGGUUCCGGAGCAGAGCUGGAGCUAGGUUACUGGAGCGCUGCGGAGCAUGGAGCCGGCGCUGAGGUUCCGGAGCAGAGCUGGAGCUAGGUUACUGGAGCGCU